rnacentral:rRNA from 1 species
AGAGUUUGAUCCUGGCUCAGAACGAACGCUGGCGGCGCGUCUUAAACAUGCAAGUCGAACGGCAAAAGAGGGGCUUGCCCCUUUUUGAGAGUGGCGGACUGGUGAGUAACACGUGGGUGACAUACCUUUUAGUUGGGGAUAGCUAUUAGAAAUAGUAGGUAAUACCGAAUGUGACCGUAUUUAUUAGAAGGAUACGAGGAAAGGAGCUAAGGCUUCGCUAAAAGAAUGGCUCGCGGCCCAUUAUGCUCGUUGGUGAGGUAACGGCCCACCAAGGCGAUGAUGGGUAUCCGGCCUGAGAGGGUGAACGGACACAUUGGGACUGAGAUACGGCCCAGACUUCUACGGGAGGCAGCAGUUAAGAAUAUUCCGCAAUGGACGAAAGUCUGACGGAGCGACGCCGCGUGGAUGAAGAAUGCCGAAAGGUUGUAAAAUCCUUUUAAGCCUGAUGAAUAAGCACAAUAGGGAAUGAUUGUGCGGUGACCGUAGGGCUUGAAUAAGCACCGGCUAAUUACGUGCCAGCAGCCGCGGUAACACGUAAGGUGCGAGCGUUGUUCGGAAUUAUUGGGCGUAAAGGGCAUGUAGGCGGAUAGGCAAGCUUGGUGUGAAAUGUUACAGCUUAACUGUGAGACAGCAUUGAGAACUGCCGAUCUUGAAUUACUGAAGGGUAACCAGAAUUCCACGUGUAGGGGUGAAAUCUGUAGAUAUGUGGAAGAAUACCAAUGGCGAAGGCAGGUUACCGGCAGAUAAUUGACGCUGAGGUGCGAAAGUGCGGGGAGCGAACAGGAUUAGAUACCCUGGUAGUCCGCACCGUAAACGAUGUACACUAGGUGUCUGGCAUAACAGCUGGGUGCCAAAGCAAACGUGAUAAGUGUACCGCCUGGGGAGUAUGCCCGCAAGGGUGAAACUCAAAGGAAUUGACGGGGGCCCGCACAAGCGGUGGAGCAUGU